rnacentral:tRNA from 1 species
GCCGAGAUAGCUCAUUGGUAGAGCGCGGCCCUGAAAAGGCCGGCGUAGGGGGUCCGAUUCCCUCUCUCGGCA